AGCCUUGUUGCUCACACAAAGCCUGUUGGUGGACUCUCUUCACACGGGCGCAUGUGACAUUUGGUGCCGAAGACCUGAGACAGGAGGACUCCUUUGGGAGACCGGUCCCCUGUCCUCGCCCUCUCUCCAUGAGAUCCACCCAUGACCUCGGGUCCUCAGCCCAGCCAAAGGAACAUCUCACCAAUUUUAAACCGGUGACGCAAAGCCAACAAGAAUGAAGAAGUGGCCAG
rnacentral:lncRNA from 1 species